rnacentral:rRNA from 1 species
AGGACGAACGCUGGCGGCGUGCUUAACACAUGCAAGUCGAGCGGUAAGGCCUUUCGGGGUACACGAGCGGCGAACGGGUGAGUAACACGUGGGUGAUCUGCCCUGCACUCUGGGAUAAGCCUGGGAAACUGGGUCUAAUACCGGAUAUGACCUGCUCUCGCAGUGGGGGGUGGGUGGAAAGAUUUA